GACUAACGCUGGCGGCGUGCCUAACACAUGCAAGUCGAACGAGUUGUAUAUAGUAGCAAUAUUGUAUACGGCAAGUGGCGAACGGGUGAGUAACACGUAGAUAAUCUGCCUUUCAGACGGGGACAACUCAGGGAAACUUGUGCUAAUACCCGAUGAGACUACGAGGGGGGACUUUCGUAGCCAAAGGUGGGGGCGAACCUCACGCUGAAAGAUGAGUCUGCGUCCUAUCAGCUAGUUGGUGGGGUAAAAGCCUACCAAGGCGAAGACGGGUAGCCGGCCUGAGAGGGUGAACGGCCACACUGGGACUGAGACACGGCCCAGACUCCUACGGGAGGCAGCAGUGAGGAAUUUUCCGCAAUGGGCGCAAGCCUGACGGAGCGACGCCGCGUGAGGGAUGACGGCCUUCGGGUUGUAAACCUCUUUAUUAGGGUAAAAGAACGAUUGUUGCUAAUACCACGGAUGUUUGAUUGUACCUGUUGAAUAAGUCCCGGCUAACUACGUGCCACGCAGCCGCGGUAAAACGUACG
rnacentral:rRNA from 1 species